rnacentral:rRNA from 1 species
AUUGAACGCUGGCGGAAUGCUUUACACAUGCAAGUCGAACGGCAGCACGGACUUCGGUCUGGUGGCGAGUGGCGAACGGGUGAGUAAUGUAUCGGAACGUGCCCAGUCGUGGGGGAUAACGUAGUGAAAAUUACGCUAAUACCGCAUACGAUCUAUGGAUGAAAGCGGGGGAUCGCAAGACCUCGCGCGAUUGGAGCGGCCGAUAUCAGAUUAGGUAGUUGGUGGGGUAAAGGCCCACCAAGCCAACGAUCUGUAGCUGGUCUGAGAGGACGACCAGCCACACUGGAACUUGGACACGGUCCAGACUCCUACGGGAGGCAGUAGUGGGGAAUUUUGGACAAUGGGCGAAAGCCUGAUCCGGCCAUUCCGCGUGCAGGAUGAAGGCCCUCGGGUUGUAAACUGCUUUUGUACAGAACGAAAAGGUUUCUACUAAUACUAGGAGCUCAUGACGGUACUGUAAGAAUAAGCACCGGCUAACUACGUGCCAGCAGCCGCGGUAA